UUGUGGAGGAGGACGCCGAAGGUGGGGCUAAUGACUGGGGUGAAGUCGUAACAAGGUAGCCGUACCGGAAGGUGCGGCUGGAUCACCUCCUAACAGGGAGACAACAAAAUGUAAAUAUUAAUUUUGUCACCUUAGGUCGAUCGGUAUCUCAGAUUCUUAUUUUUUAAGAAUUUCAGUUUCUAAGUUUUUUCUAGGUCACACCCAUCACUUUUUCCUGGGCCAUUAGUUCAGGUGGUUAGAGCGCACCCCUGAUAAGGGUGAGGUCCCUGGUUCAAGUCCAGGAUGGCCCAUAUCUCUAUGUUGGGGGUAUAGCUCAGUUGGUAGAGCGCCUGCUUUGCAAGCAGGAUGUCAGCGGUUCGAGUCCGCUUACCUCCACUGAAUACCACCUCUUAUAUAUAUUUAAAGAGGGAAAUUGUUUGAGUCGUGUCCUAAUUUGCUCUGAGCGAAUCUAGCUUCCUAUUUUAUUCAAUAAAUAAGAUGCUGGACUCAUUGAAUUUUUUUUCAUUGUUUUCAGAGAACCUUGACAACUGCAUAGAUUAUUUUUGAAGACAAUAAGCAUCUUUAAUGAUGCAGAUUUAUUAUUUGUGCUAAUGCAUUAAAUAACAAUUCUAUUAAGCUGAUGCUUCAAUUAUUGAAGUUAUUGGUCAAGCUACAA
rnacentral:misc_RNA from 1 species